UACAGAGACCUCAAGCGUUAUCCGGAAUCAUUGGGCGUAAAGCGUACCGAUAGGUGGUUUUACAAGUCAGAAGUGAAAUCUCAAGGCUCAACCUUGAGACUGUCUUUUGAAACUGUAAAACUUGAGGGGCAAAGAGGAAGCUGGAACGAACGGUGUAGUAGUGAAAUGCGUUGAUAUCGUUCGGAACACCAAUAGCGUAGGCAAGCUUCUGGGUGCCACCUGACACUGCUAGGACGAAAGCGUGGGGAGCGAAUGGG
rnacentral:rRNA from 1 species